GACGAACGCUGGCGGCGUGCCUAAUACAUGCAAGUCGAACGCACUCUCGUUUAGAUUGAAGGAGUUUGCUCCUGAUUGAUAAACAUUUGAGUGAGUGGCGGACGGGUGAGUAACACGUGGGUAACCUGCCCUAAAGUGGGGGAUAACAUUUGGAAACAGAUGCUAAUACCGCAUAAAACCUAACACCGCAUGGUGUAGGGUUGAAAGAUGGUUUCGGCUAUCACUUUAGGAUGGACCCGCGGUGCAUUAGUUAGUUGGUGAGGUAAAGGCUCACCAAGACCGUGAUGCAUAGCCGACCUGAGAGGGUAAUCGGCCACACUGGGACUGAGACACGGCCCAGACUCCUACGGGAGGCAGCAGUAGGGAAUCUUACACAAUGGACGAAAGUCUGAUGGAGCAACGCCGCGUGAGUGAAGAAGGUUUUCGGAUCGUAAAACUCUGUUGUUGGAGAAGAAUGUAUCUGAUAGUAACUGAUCAGGUAGUGACGGUAUCCAACCAGAAAGCCACGGCUAACUACGUG
rnacentral:rRNA from 1 species